CUGGAGCUGUGGUCGCUGCUGUAAUGUGGAGGAAGAAGAGCUCAGAUAGAAAAGGAGGGAGCUACUCUCAGGCUGCAAGCAGCAACAGUGCCCAGGGCUCUGAUGUGUCUCUCACGGCUUGAAAGUGUGAGACAGCUGCCUUGUGUGGGACUGAGAGGCAAGAGUUGUUCCUGCCCUUCCCUUUGUGACUUGAAGAACCCUGACUUUGUUUCUGCAAAGGCACCUGCAUGUGUCUGUGUUCGUGUAGGCAUAAUGUGAGGAGGUGGGGAGACCACCCCACCCCCAUGUCCACCAUGACCCUCUUCCCACGCUGACCUGUGCUCCCUCCCCAAUCAUCUUUCCUGUUCCAGAGAGGUGGGGCUGAGGUGUCUCCAUCUCUGUCUCAACUUCAUGGUGCACUGAGCUGUAACUUCUUCCUUCCCUAUUAAAAUUAGAACCUUAGUAUAAAUUUACUUUCUCAAAUUCUUGCCAUGAGAGGUUGAUGAGUUAAUUAAAGGAGAAGAUUCCUAAAAUUUGAGAGACAAAAUAAAUGGAAGACAUGAG
rnacentral:lncRNA from 1 species